GCCCAGCCGUAAACAAUUACUUACACCAACCUACGCAGGGAAUUACGAGCCAUGCUUAAAACCCAAAGGACUUGACGGUGUCCCAUCCCCCUAGAGGAGCCUGUUCUUUAAUCGAUACUCCCCGCUGUACCUGACCAUUCCUUGCUCCCAGUCUGUAUACCUCCGUCGAAAGCUUACCCUGUGAACGCAAGUAAGCCUAAUGGACCCCCCCCCCACACGUCAGGUCAAGGUGCAGCUCACGGAAUGGGAAGUAAUGGGCUACAAUUUCUAAUGUAGAACAAACGAAAGACUAUGUGAAAUCAAAGUCACGAAGGUGGAUUUAGUAGUAAAAAGAAAACAGAGUGUUCUUUUUAACCCGGCUCUGGGACGCGUACACACCGCCCGUCACCCUCUUCAACAGCCUAGCUCACCGUUCAUAACCCUUUACCCGCGCCUUAGAAGAGGCAAGUCGUAACAUGGUAAGUGUACUGGAAAGUGCCCUUGGACAACAAAAUAUAGCUUAAUGAAAGCCCCUCGCUUACACCGAGAAAAUGUCUGUUUAACCCAAACUAUUUUGAGCCUGAAAUCUAGCCCAUUUUGUAUACGUAACCUUCACAAUCAACUGCCUCCAAACAAAACAUUUUGACAUUUUAGUAUAGGUGAUAGAAAAAUUUAUAGGCGCUUCAGAUACAGUACCGCAAGGGAAUAAUGAAAUAGAAAUGAAAUAACCUAAAGCCCUAUGC
rnacentral:rRNA from 1 species